rnacentral:rRNA from 1 species
UACGUAGGUGGCAAGCGUUGUCCGGAUUUACUGGGCGUAAAGAGCGCGCAGGCGGUCGUGCAAGUCGCGUGUGAAAGCCCCCGGCUCAACUGGGGAGGGUCACGCGAUACUGCUCGACUCGAAGGCAGGAGAGGGAAGUGGAAUUCCCGGUGUAGUGGUGAAAUGCGUAGAUAUCGGGAGGAACACCAGUGGCGAAGGCGGCUUCCUGGCCUGUUCUUGACGCUGAGGCGCGAAAGCUAGGGGAGCAAACGGGG